UGGUGGGUAGUUUGACUGGGGCGGUCUCCUCCCAAAGAGUAACGGAGGAGCACGAAGGUUGGCUAAUCCUGGUCGGACAUCAGGAGGUUAGUGCAAUGGCAUAAGCCAGCUUGACUGCGAGCGUGACGGCGCGAGCAGGUGCGAAAGCAGGUCAUAGUGAUCCGGUGGUUCUGAAUGGAAGGGCCAUCGCUCAACGGAUAAAAGGUACUCCGGGGAUAACAGGCUGAUACCGCCCAAGAGUUCAUAUCGACGGCGGUGUUUGGCACCUCGAUGUCGGCUCAUCACAUCCUGGGGCUGAAGUAGGUCCCAAGGGUAUGGCUGUUCGCCAUUUAAAGUGGUACGCGAGCUGGGUUUAGAACGUCGUGAGACAGUUCGGUCCCUAUCUGCCGUGGGCGCUGGAGAAUUGAGGGGGGCUGCUCCUAGUACGAGAGGACCGGAGUGGACGCAUCACUGGUGUUCGGGUUGUCAUGCCAAUGG
rnacentral:rRNA from 1 species